rfam:Rhizoclosmatium globosum strain JEL800 BCR33scaffold_330, whole genome shotgun sequence.
AGGGAUGUAGCUUAAUGGUAAAGCUCUUGCUUGUCGAGCAAGUAGAUGUGGGUUCGAUUCCCAUCAUUCUCA